rnacentral:siRNA from 1 species
AAAUGCCUGCAAAGAAGAAGACAG